GUUCAGUUCCUAUCACAUCCGCACGGAAAUUGACCAAAAUAUGCAUUGUUCCUGGGAUUUGCUGUUGUAUUUCAGUCAUUUUCAUGAAAUAGUUUUAAUCCGCAAACUUCUUUAAGUAGGUAGCGUGUUCAAUAGACUAAAUUCUACUUAGUAAUUUUGAGAUAGAGCAGACUAGCGUUGUAUGUUUAAUUGUGGCUAGCCAGCUAGGUUAGUCCGUCGUAGUUCGCUCGUAGCUGCCCACAUUUGUAAGUAGCUAAUUAGCUACUUGUUCGCAAACAUAUACUUUAUGUGUAAACUGGCUAGUGUGUGUGUAACUUUCAACUACCGAAUUAGAUUCAGCAAUAAGAUAUUGUUUUCGAUCACUUAUUUUUGAACACGUAGAGUCAUUGGUCGCCCAUGUGUUGAUGUUUGUGUGCUUAAGAGGCAUAUUAUGCUUUUGUCUGUUACGCCUUUCCUAUUUGUAGACGCAAAUGAUUUUUGUGAUUUGAACUAUUCAUUGAACUUAUUGUAUCCGCGAGUGUACAGAGUCGUGCAUCAGCCUUUGUGUAGCAUUGCUUUUUGACAUGUCAGGAUGGCUAGCAAUAUUCUCUCCAAAUCGGUACUCCCCGAUAUUAGUGUCUAUUCAAAUCAUAUAAACUCUGUUCGGCAUUCAUUACUGCACUUUUGGCAAGCAAUCACUGAUUUCCAAACUGCUUGUGUGGUAGGCAUAGAUGUCAGUUUAAAAGAUCCACAUGGACUUGGAUGUGUUAUCUGCUUUUGAACUUCGUUCACCAUCUAUUUGUGAUUAAUGGCUGCAGUCUGUAUUUAUAAGAGCUUCACCAUUUUGAGAAACCUAUUUUAUUUGUGUGAAGUGAGAGGUCAAACAGAAUGGGGAUCAUACUAUUGUGAUGUGGUCAUUUUUCCUCUUCAUGGAUAGUAAUAACAUCCCCAAUGCAUAGCAGUCUGAGCCCUUAAGCCCCUGGCCCUCUUUGAGGCCUCUCCUUUAGUCAUGUGUCUUCAUAUACCCAAGUAGUCAUUUCAGGGCUCAAGAGAUUGUGGAACUUAAAGAAGCACUUCAGAACGUAUCAUAAAAUCAGUUGAACUCCGCUUGCUCCUUUUGAAGUGAAUCAUGCAGCAGUAGUAUGUGGCAGUACCGUAGGUAUAAGUGAAGAUAAAUGCAGUAACAUGUCUUAAUGAUUCAGUAGCCCAAUAAAGAUCAAACUGCUUUACAAAAUUCAGUGAAAUCAAAUUAUGCAGCUUUGUGGUUAAUUUUAAAGCUUACAGAAAUGUAAACUCAUAUUUUAAUAUUUACAGUGUCUGUGUACCUCAGUACCACAAAUCAGCAUUGAAUGAAGUCAGUUAUGGCGAGCCUGAGCAUUCAAAAUCAUGUGGCGCAUUCAGUAAAUCUAUUAUUUAUAUAUUUUUUCCCUUAUGGUGUAGGUGGUCAAUUGUAUUUGUUUUUUCUAUGGUUUAUGUGAAGUCCACAAACAAAGUUUUUCAAUAAAUGAAUAUUGUCAUGAACUGUUUUCAAUGCAGUGGUUGUUCAUGGAUCAUGGUGGUUUGUGGGGUGUACUGAGUUGUUUUUUUCUACCUUCCCUUUGCUUAAAGUCACCAUCAACUCAAAAUCCCCUUUAUCAAGGUCCCAGGUGUACUAAAGAAUAUUAAUUGGAGUGUAUUCUCAGAAAGCUGGAAGGCUGACAAAAUGGUGAUUGAAAUCCAAAAAUAUCUUGGGAAGACAGCAGUGGUAUUUAGAUGCAGAAGUAGUAUGGUUUUGUGCGGUGCCAUUAACAGUCAUACGUUUGUCUUUUAAGACUCACUCAAAGCUUGGCUGCUACAAAUUAAAGUGAUGUCUGAUUAUUUUGCCGCAUGUUCUAACCUUCUCGUGAAUAGUAUCUUCUGUUAAUGUAGCGCAUUCCUGGCAAAUUAUUUCUCGCAUAAGGUCCUGUUUCCCUUUAUGCCCCUGUGCGAUCCCCUUAGGAUGUAGGCUACUGAAGGAAUUGCUUGCAAAUUUGAUUUCAUUGGUAUAGCAUGGCCAUUUUACUUAACUGCCUAAUAACAGCAGAGUUUUUCUUUGCAGUAUUUUUGCGCUAAUAUUUCCAUCUUCACAUAAAACUAUAGAAAGUAAUUACCCAAAGAAGUGUUAAAAAGAAUAUGAUUGAUUUUGAGAUUUCACAAAUGUGUGUGUGCUAGCUGAAGUAACAGAAAGCAUUAGUAGAUGUUUGCAAAAUUAUUUCUUCCUCUCUUCUAUGUUUCUUUGUACCACUUUAUCAGUUUUACAUCAAAUCUAGCUUUUUUUGUAAACUUGAGAAUUUUGACAGGAGAGGGUGGAGUUUUGAUGCCAAGUUACAGAGAUUUAUGACGGCCAUUUGAAAGCUAAUGCAUACAUUAUAACUGUGCCCUGCCAGGGAAAGCAUCUGAAGCAGAAUCUGAUCAUACUAUUAGCAAAACCCUGAUUGAUGGGCCCUGCUUGUGAUACGACUUUACAUAUAAUUUUAUUUUGGCCAGUGUGAUCAUCCCUCCCUUAAAUGUGACUUGUCUCAUGCUGGAUUUAAUCAUAUUGGGGCAACUGAGCCUGAUUUGAAUGUCAGAAUAGAUUCCUGGCCCAGUUGGACCUGAUAUUGGAGGUAUGCCAGGGCUGCCUGUGCAAUGACAGGAGGAUAGCUCUGUCCAGGAGCCGGAUUGGAAUGUCACUUUCCCCUCUAAGGGCUUAACAAACACCCAAGCCCCCUUUUGUUUUCCUAUCCAGAAUCAACUGUCCAAAAAUGGGCCAGUCAUCAUUUUUUUGCCCUUGUUUUGCAUCAAAACCCUGAGGACAGAAUGCCUCUGUGGGACAUCAAUAUUGCUGCCUGUUGGAAUGGGGCGUUUUUGGGUAAUGACAUUUUAGUACAUUUACUAUGUAUAUGCAGUAUUUUUGUAUAGUAGUGGAAGGUCAUGGUAAUAUUUCAUGGCCAGUGAGAUGACCUCCUUAUGAGUUGGCUUCCUGUGCAGGGGGUGGUGUUUCUCACAGUUUCAUCCUUUAUAACAAGGAUCUCAGACUACCGUGCUGGAAGGCUGUAGUGUCAGCUGGUUUUAUUUGCGUUGAUUAGCGCUAAAGUGCUUAAUUUAAGUCAUUGAUUGAUUAAAGGCUCCUCACACUUUGUUUCCAAGGCCUAAAUUGGCUGCUAAUUGAAAAAUAAUAAUAAUAAAAUUGAUAAAACUGGGUGCAGUACUGAAGUUAGAGAUCCCUGUAAAACUGGUAGGGGCCAUGCAUUUUUAGCACCUGUUUUACAUUCAGUCCUCCUGCAGCAAGGUACAGCUAUUCUGCAGUAACAGAAUAUGAUUUGUCACCUGAUAUGUAUUAGCCUACUUAUUGUAUAAAAGUAAUUGUCAGAAGUCUUUGGUAAAACAAUUUACCACAAUUAUUUGUUUGAUUGCACCGCAUAUUGUCAUUGGUGUCCUACUUAGCCACUGUCUGAUCACAGCCACUUGCCUUAUCUGUUCAGAUGGAGUGCCUCUAGAGACACGUUGUGAUUUUAACUGAAUGCAGGCUGCACAAGCAGAACAUUUCCAGGACCUACGCAUAGGCCUACAACUUUUGGAUCUGGAGUGGAUACUUUAGGGAAAGAUGAUGUGAAAGUUAAUUUUUGUUGUGACAUUUUACCCUUGCCCUCCAUAGCAGGAUGGAUCCAGGCCAUCCAGAGGUGGAGACGUAGCAAACAGCGGGAGAUAGGGAGAGUCCAGCUGGAUUUUUAAUUUGAGGAAUUUGAUUAAAUACCUUUUAAUUAUCUGGUUCUCAGUGGUGCUGUUUAGGGGGAUGUCACAUGGCUCCUCCUUUUAAUGUGAGCCAUCUGUCUACUCUCCAAAAAAAAAGGUACCCUGCCUUGUUCCUUCCUUUUCUAAAUCACUUGGCUCGGACCAAGUCUACAGUAAUCCACAUUACGCUUCCUCCUUGACCCAAUUCUGACCAGUAUAGCACUGACCACUGCCUCUUGCAUGAGGUCAAAAAAAUAUCUUCACUGUGAGAUUAAAUAAUUAUGUAAUAGACCCGCUUUUCUCUUCAGUUUGUUCAAAAGAUACUUGUGGCAAGGUCAAACUACCGAAAACCUAGAACUAGUGCAAAUGUAGCUUUUGCAAAUGCAAAUUGAUUUAUAUAGGCUACUGAUAUUGAUAUUAUGAUUGUGCUGUUAUUUUUCUUUGUUGUUUGACUGGCUCACAAGUGGUUUAAAAAGUGGGUGAACACAGAAAGAAUCUUAAAUUCACCUCAACCUAAGGUAAAUGUUUCUUCCUUGCAUUCCCCAUCCACCCACCACACAUAACUUGCACAUUGAAACUCACUGACAGCUAUGCAUUAUGUACGAGAACUGGCAUCAAUUAUGUACCAUUUAUUCUUGCCGCCGCAAUAUCUAAUUGAUUUGAUUCUCUCAGUGUCAUGUAUUAUUAAUUGCGUAUAGGCCUAUAUUUUACAUCUGCUUUCUCCCGGUAGAUCCUCAUGCGUUCUGUGUAAUAAUUUCUCGUUUCUGUCGUGUGAGUUGUGCAUGAAGGGCAUGUCUGCUGCGAACUAUGGUAUAAAUUCAAAUAUACAGGAAUUUAUUUGCACAGGCUACGUAUUUACUACGUAAUAACUACAUAAUACUGUUUGUUCUUUAUUUCUGAAAUAAGAUGCACUGUGAGAUUUCCGCAUGAAAAAAAAAUCCUAAAUGCACACUAAAUAGACAUGAAAUUUGCAAAUGUACAAUUCCCUAACAAACACUCUCUCUUGGUUUACAUUUCUCAUGUAGUGCUACUCUAGGUGCGUUUUAAUGGGGUACAAUUUCCUGUCUGAAAAGAAAAGAUGAGGGUGGGCGAAAGAUUGCUCCCUGUCUUGACCUUCACAUAACACUGCUUUCAAAAGGGUGAAAAAACCAGAACGGCCAUUGCGGUGUUGACUGGGCUAAUGCAAGAGAAGCUCUGAGGCCCUCAUUCCCGUGUCCUGAGGUCGAGUUGAGCAGUAUCAGUCACAGAACGCUGUGAAAGACCUGCUGAGCCAUUUUCACAGCAGGAAUCCCUGAGCACUGUACUGCUUUAGGGGGAAAGAGAUGCCAUACUGGUUUCAGUGUUUUUCUAUCGGUGUCAGUGGUGGGAUUGCUACAGUGGAGAUGAGCCCUGACUCUAAUAUCUGGCGUACCGCGCUUUUCUCCUGAGUGCGCUUCUGCUGUUAAUCCAAUCGGAAACAAAGCGCUUCAUUCUGGAUCAAAUUAGCCUGUUGGCAUCUCUGAAGUCUGGUUAAUCCAUUUCAGUACCAGCAAAUGCUAUUUACCUAUCUGGUGGGACACAGACAGAUAAUCUUCAGUAUCUCGUCGGGUCUUUGGGGUGAACAAGAGAAAGGGAUACUAUUAAAUAUGAAAGGGAAAGCUCAGUGUUGAUAGAGUUUUACAUAUCUGUUCAAGCUCUCUUCCCACUUGGGGCAUGUGGAGAAUCUUCCACAAUGCUUUACUGUUGAGCUAAACGCAAGUCCAGUGAAUUUAUGAGAUGUCUGCUUUAUCACAGCUGAGCCUUUUGUUUGUCUGCCAUAUAAAUAAUAAGAUUCUACUCAGAAAAUAACACUAUCACCCGUCUCUAAGGAUCUCUUUUUCCUGUUUUAGGGAUAUUUUCUUUCAUCAUUAUUGCCUCUGGAAAUUUGUUGUCCCUAAUCCUGUGUCUCAUGGCAGCAGUAGCACUGUGAGCUUUGAUGUGCGCCUGUGCGUUUUCUCUCUCAGGGUGCUUCUGCAUGUUUUGUCGGAAGCCGCAGUAACGCAUGCUCACCACUAGGGUUCUCCAUGUGUCUCAAUUUCUGUUCUGUCAGAAGAAUUUCAAAUCUAUGACAGCGCAGACAAAAUAUGAAAUUCUUAUUUAGAGAUACUGAAACAGAAACCAAUUGAAAAAAACUGGUUUGACUGUGUAAUUGCCAUGAUAGUACAUGUCCUACACCAUUUAACUGAUAAGGAACACAUUAUUAGUAUUUUAUUUUGUUUUAUUUUAUAUGUGAGCUUGUUGUGAUAAAAAGUCCAGUGCUGUCUUGUAAUGGUUGAGGUGUUUGUCAUGUGGUAGAUAGAUAAACUGAUGAAGGAUUAGCAGAUAUAUUCUUGUUGAAAAAUUGUUAAACUUGCAACUUGCCUUUCACAUGCUUAUCUUAAAUGCUUAAUUUUACAAAUUGUUGUACUGUCCUUUUUUGCAUAUAUUGUAUAAAUUUGGUAAGUUCAAAGUUAUAAUCUGUCAAAUUACAAUCAGUACAUUUAUUAGAAAUAAAACUUUCUGGGGUCAACAUUCCUCAAUUUGAA